rnacentral:lncRNA from 1 species
GAGGAGCCAGCAGCGUGGGCGUGGCUCGGCGACUCACCGUAGAGGUUCUGACCGACGCCGACCUCCCCAGUGCGUGAUCUGUGGUGGUCCACACAUUCCACCGCAGUGCCCGCAGCGGGGAGGGAGGUGUUUCCAGUUUGGCCAGGAGGGCCACUUUCGGACCGAGUGCCCGAGGGGAUCUUCACCGGCACCAUCGACUGCAUCGGCACCGGCUCUACCAGCCGUCAGCCAGGGGACUCCAUCGACACAGUACCAGCCUGGGCGGCCACCUGUCCAGCGCCAGAGCGAGGGAUCCCGACAGGCCCCGAGUGGGCGCAUGUACGCCGCUCAGACCGAGGAGGCGGCAGCAGCCGAGGAUGUGGUUGCAGGUAUCAUUUUACUUGAUGGCAUUAGAGUUCGUGCUUUAUUUGAUACCGGUGCAUCGCAUUCAU